rnacentral:rRNA from 1 species
AAUAGAUACCCGGGUAGUCCACGCCGUAAACGAUGAGUGCUAAGUGUUAGGGGGUUUCCACCCCUUAGUGCUGCAGCUAACGCAUUAAGCACUCCGCCUGGGGAGUACGGUCGCAAGACUGAAACUCAAAGGAAUUGACGAGGGCCCGCACAAGCGGUGGAGCAUGUGGUUUAAUUCGAAGCAACGCGAAGAACCUUACCAGGUCUUGACAUCCCGGUGACCGCUCUAGAGAUAGAGCUUUCCCUUCGGGGACAGCGGUGACAGGUGGUGCAUGGUUGUCGUCAGCUCGUGUCGUGAGAUGUUGGGUUAAGUCCCGCAACGAGCGCAACCCUUGUUCUUAGUUGCCAUCAUUCAGUUGGGCACUCUAAGGAGACUGCCGCAGACAAUGCGGAGGAAGGUGGGGAUGACGUCAAAUCAUCAUGCCCCUUAUGACCUGGGCUACACACGUGCUACAAUGGACGGUACAAACGGUUGCUAAGUCGCGAGACGGAGCUAAUCCGAGAAAACCGUUCUCAGUUCGGAUUGCAGG